rnacentral:rRNA from 1 species
UACAGAGGGUGCGAGCGUUAAUCGGAAUUACUGGGCGUAAAGCGCGCGUAGGCGGCUUUGCAAGUCGAGUGUGAAAUCCCCAGGCUUAACCUGGGAACUGCAUUCGAGACUGCAUAGCUAGAGUAUGGGAGAGGGAAGUGGAAUUUCAGGUGUAGUGGUGAAAUGCGUAGAUAUCUGAAGGAACAUCAGUGGCGAAAGCGACUUCCUGGACCAAUACUGACGCUCAUGUGCGAAAGCGUGGGGAGCAAACAGG